rnacentral:rRNA from 1 species
GACGAACGCUGGCGGCGUGCUUAACACAUGCAAGUCGAACGGAAAGGCCCUGCUCUUGUGGGGUGCUCGAGUGGCGAACGGGUGAGUAACACGUGAGUAACCUGCCCUUGACUUUGUGAUAACUUCAGGAAACUGGGGCUAAUACCGGAUAGGAGCUCCUGCUGCAUGUUGGGGGUUGGAAAGUUUCGGCGGUUGGGUAUGGACUCGCGGCUUAUCAGCUUGUUGGUGGGGUAGUGGCUUACCAAGGCUUUGACGGGUAGCCGGCCUGAGAGGGUGACCGGCCACAUUGGGACUGAGGUACGGCCCAGCCUCCUACGGGAGGCAGCAGUGGGGAAUAUUGCACAAUGGGCGGAAGCCUGAUGCAGCAACGCCGCGUGCGGGAUGACGGCCUUCGGGUUGUAAACCGCUUUCGCCUGUGACGAAGCGUGAGUGACGGUAAUGGGUAAAGAUGCACCGGCUAACUACGUG